GUCACAAGUGGUGUAGGUGAUGUCACCAGUCAUGUCACAACUGGGGUGUUAGCAGUGUCUCUAGUGGGUGUAGGUGAUGUCACAAGUGGUGUAGGUGAUGUCACAAGUGGUGAAGGUGAUGUCACCAGCCAUGUCACAACUGGGGUGUUAGCAGUGUCUCUAGUGGGUGUAGGUGAUGUCACAAGUGGUGUAGGUGAUGUCACAAGUGGUGAAGGUGAUGUCACCAGCCAUGUCACAACUGGGGUGUUAGCAGUGUCACUAGUGGGUGUAGGUGAUGUCACAAGUGGUGUAGGUGAUGUCACAAGUGGUGUAGGUGAUGUCACCAGCCAUGUCACAACUGGGGUGUUAGCAGCGUCUCUAGUGGGUGUAGGUGAUGUCACAAGUGGUGUAGGUGAUGUCACAAGUGGUGUAGGUGAUGUCACCAGCCAUGUCACAACUGGGGUGUU